rnacentral:rRNA from 1 species
UACGGGGGGAGCAAGCGUUGUUCGGAUUUACUGGGCGUAAAGGGCGCGUAGGCGGUCAGCACAAGUCAGUUGUGAAAUCUCCGGGCUUAACCCGGAAAGGUCAACUGAUACUGUGCGACUAGAGUGCGGAAGGGGCAACUGGAAUUCUCGGUGUAGCGGUGAAAUGCGUAGAUAUCGGGAGGAACACCAAAGGCGAAAGCACUCUGCUGGGCCACAACUGACACUGAGAGACGAAAGCGAGGGGAGCAAAAGGG